rnacentral:tRNA from 1 species
CGAAAAUCUGUUGUAGAGUAAUUGGUUAGGAUAUUUGGUUCUCACCCAAAAAGACCUGGGUUCAAGUCCUAGCAAUGGAAU